rnacentral:rRNA from 1 species
UACAGAGGUCUCAAGCGUUGUUCGGAUUCAUUGGGCGUAAAGGGUGCGUAGGUGGCGCCGUAAGUCAGGUGUGAAAUUUCGGAGCUUAACUCCGAAACUGCAUUUGAUACUGCGGUGCUUGAGGACUGGAGAGGAGACUGGAAUUUACGGUGUAGCAGUGAAAUGCGUAGAGAUCGUAAGGAAGACCAGGUGGCGAAGGCGGGUCUCUGGACAGUUCCU